CCUACGGGAGGCAGCAGUGAGGAAUAUUGGUCAAUGGACGAAAGUCUGAACCAGCCAAGUAGCGUGAAGGAUGACUGCCCUAUGGGUUGUAAACUUCUUUUAUAAAGGAAUAAAACGAGGCACGUGUGCCUUUUUGCAUGUACUUUAUGAAUAAGGAUAGGCUAACUCCGUGCCAGCAGCCGCGGUAAUACGGAGGGUCCGAGCGUUAUCCGGUGUUAUUGGGUUUAAAGGGAGCGUAGAUGGGUUGUUAAGUCAGUUGUGAAAGUUUGCGGCGCAACCGUAAAAUUGCAGUUGAUACUGGCAGUCUUGAGUGCAGAUGAGGUAGGCGGAAUUCGUGGUGUAGCGGUGAAAUGCUUAGAUAUCACGAAGAACUCCGAUUGCGAAGGCAGCUUACUAAACUGUGACUGACAUUGAUGCUCGAAAGUGUGGGUAUCAAACAUGAUUAGAUACCCUGGUAGUC
rnacentral:rRNA from 1 species